GAGUUUGAUCCUGGCUCAGGAUGAACGCUGGCGGCGUGCUUAACACAUGCAAGUCGAACGGGGGUGCCAUUUUCGAGGUGAUUAGUUUACUAAGAGCCAAGAUGUUGGUAUCUUAGUGGCGGACGGGUGAGUAACGCGUGGGUAACCUGCCUUAUACAGGGGGAUAACACUUAGAAAUAGGUGCUAAUACCGCAUAAGCGCACGGGGCUGCAUGGCCCAGUGUGAAAAACUCCGGUGGUAUAAGAUGGACCCGCGUCUGAUUAGCUUGUUGGCGGGGUAACGGCCCACCAAGGCGACGAUCAGUAGCCGGCCUGAGAGGGUGGACGGCCACAUUGGGACUGAGACACGGCCCAAACUCCUACGGGAGGCAGCAGUGGGGAAUAUUGGACAAUGGGGGGAACCCUGAUCCAGCGACGCCGCGUGAGUGAAGAAGUAUUUCGGUAUGUAAAGCUCUAUCAGCAGGGAAGAAAGAAAUGACGGUACCUGACUAAGAAGCCCCGGCUAACUACGUGCCAGCAGCCGCGGUAAUACGUAGGGGGCAAGCGUUAUCUGGAUUUACUGGGUGUAAAGGGAGCGUAGACGGUUGUGCAAGUCUGAAGUGAAAGGCGGGGGCCCAACCCCCGGACUGCUUUGGAAACUGUAUAACUGGAGUGCAGGAGAGGUAAGUGGAAUUCCUAGUGUAG
rnacentral:rRNA from 1 species